UACGUAGGGUGCAAGCGUUGUCCGGAAUUAUUGGGCGUAAAGAGCUUGUAGGCGGUUUGUCGCGUCUGCUGUGAAAUUUCGGGGGCUCAACCCCGAACUUGCAGUGGGUACGGGCAGACUAGAGUGUGGUAGGGGGAGACUGGAAUUCCUGGUGUAGCGGUGAAAUGCGCAGAUAUCAGGAGGAACACCGAUGGCGAAGGCAGGUCUCUGGGCCACUACUGACGCUGAGAGACGAAAGCUAGGGGAGCAAAAUGGG
rnacentral:rRNA from 1 species